rnacentral:rRNA from 1 species
GGCCUAAGCACAGGUCGCAAGACGUAAGCGAUGGAUAACAGGUUUAGAUUCCUGUACCACGCAUUAUCAGAACUGUAGGGACGCAUGUGGAAAGCACGAGCCGGGAAUGGAAAGACCGGUACAAGCGAGGUAGGUGUACAAUAGGCAAAUCCGUUGUAUGAUCCGAAGACGUGAUGUGGAGCGAAAUAAAGUAGUGAAGCGUGUGAGCCAUGUGCCGAGAAAAGCUGCUAUUGUGUAAUGCGUGCCCGUACCGUA